rnacentral:rRNA from 1 species
GGAUUAGAUACCCUGGUAGUCCACGCUGUAAACGAUGAUCACUCGUUGUUUGCGAUAUAUUGUAAGCGACUGAGCGAAAGCAUUAAGUGAUCCACCUGGGGAGUACGUCGGCAACGAUGAAACUCAAAGGAAUUGACGGGGGCCCGCACAAGCGGAGGAACAUGUGGUUUAAUUCGAUGAUACGCGAGGAACCUUACCUGGGUUUAAAUGUAGGUUGCAUGGAUGGGAAACUGUUCUUUCCUUCGGGACUACUUACAAGGUGCUGCAUGGCUGUCGUCAGCUCGUGCUG